UAUGCACUAUUCUUUCAGUACGAAAGGACCAAAAGAAUGGGACCUAUGUUUAUAACAAGCCCCCAAUCACCCGAAACAAUAUUAAACCAACAGUACCAACCUUCCCCCCCCCCCAAAACAGGGU
rnacentral:rRNA from 1 species